rnacentral:rRNA from 1 species
UACGAAGGGGGCUAGCGUUGUUCGGAAUCACUGGGCGUAAAGCGCACGUAGGCGGAUCUUUAAGUCAGGGGUGAAAUCCCAGAGCUCAACUCUGGAACUGCCUUUGAUACUGGGGAUCUCGAGUUCGGGAGAGGUGAGUGGAACUGCGAGUGUAGAGGUGAAAUUCGUAGAUAUUCGGAAGAACACCAGUGGCGAAGGCGACUUACUGGACACAUAUUGACGCUGAGGUGCGAAAGCGUGGGGAGCAAACAGG